UACCACAGACCACACCUGUGUGUGUGUGCAUGUGUGUGUCUGUUUCUGUGUGUACUCAGGAACUGAGGGUGUGAAUAAACAUUUCCUUUGACUCAGUGAGAUGAGCAUGGCUGAAGGUCUCAGGGUCUCUCCUGCAGACAUGAACAGCACAGAGAACCAGGAUGAAGGACCGCCCAAGCUGCACCAGAGGACGAGACACACACCCAAGCUGCACCAGAGGACGAGACACACACCCAAGCGGAGUUGGUGAGGAGAGUGAACAAGAAACAAGAAAGAGGUCACAGCUACCAGGAGAAAAUUAACCCUCUAUACGACACAACACACAUAGUCUGGAACACAAACCCUAAGCCCAACCAUAACCCUGACCUUCAAUGUUACCCUAUCUCUGAGGCAUAGACAGCAACACCGCAGCCGAGACACGCACUUGAACUGGCUCCAAAUAGCUUGACUUGGCUCUUUGGAGGUUUCUUUCUAUGACAAAGAUUUUAUUUUAUGUCCUUUUCCCAUCAUGUCAAUCUUUUUUCUCAUAGUGUGAUAAAAUGUCAUCAAACCAACUUCAAGUCCUCUUUUGUCAAUAUCUGUUCUAUCUAUCUAUCUAUCUAUCUAUCUAUCUAUAGCAGGGCUUACAUACCAUUUACUGGCAUGACUGAAAACCUGAGCUCAUGGGCAGAUAUUCCAUUUCACUGUUGGGGGGGACAAUAAACAGAAAAAUCUCUCAAGAGCAAUUCCUGAGAGGGAAACAAAAUAUGCCGUCAAAAGUGCUCUUGUACUUGUAUUAAAUGCAUAGAGGAAAACCGUAUCACUGUUAUGUAUACUAGGUAAUUGAUUGGUUAAUAACUUAAGGGUUAGCAUGUUUGAAUGUUUUACAUACAUUAUGAAGUCAUUAUAUGUUUAACUGAACUAAUCUUCAGUAGCUUUACAAGAAGUCUUCUUCAGUAGUUUUACAAGAACAUAACACUCAAAAUAAGUACAGUUCUAAAAGCAGCAGAAAUACAGUACUUAAAUGAGUAACCUAACUAAAUCAACCAAAAUAUUCUUAAAAAAAUAUACGAUACCAUACCAUUUACGAUAAGAAUCCCCUUUCCAGAUGUGUCCAUUUCAGUUUAAAAUCCAACAGGGGGCAGUGUUUUACACGCGACGAAGUGUGACAGAUAACUGGCCAUUUAUUUUGUACGAUAUACUAGAACGGACAUAGGAGGCC
ensembl:lncRNA